GAUGAACGCUGGCGGCGUGCCUAAUACAUGCAAGUCGAGCGAACAGACGAGGAGCUUGCUCCUCUGACGUUAGCGGCGGACGGGUGAGUAACACGUGGAUAACCUACCUAUAAGACUGGGAUAACUUCGGGAAACCGGAGCUAAUACCGGAUAAUAUAUUGAACCGCAUGGUUCAAUAGUGAAAGACGGUUUUGCUGUCACUUAUAGAUGGAUCCGCGCCGCAUUAGCUAGUUGGUAAGGUAACGGCUUACCAAGGCAACGAUGCGUAGCCGACCUGAGAGGGUGAUCCGCCACACUUGAACUGAGACACGGUCCAGACUCCUACGGGAGGCAGCAGGAGGGAAUCUUCCGCAAUGGGCGAAAGCCUGACGGAGCAACGCCGCGUGAGUGAUGAAGGUCUUCGGAUCGUAAAACUCUGUUAUUAGGGAAGAACAAAUGUGUAAGUAACUAUGCACGUCUUGACGGUACCUAAUCAGAAAGCCACGGCUAACUACGUG
rnacentral:rRNA from 1 species